ensembl:lincRNA Ino80dos INO80 complex subunit D, opposite strand
CAGGGGACUGCUCCAGAAGCCUGCCUGGUCCUGCCCCUCUCCCUGACAGUUUGCUCUCUGCUCUCUUCUUAACUACCUUCCUGCCGGAGCUGUCCAGAGAGGGAGACUGAGGACCCAAAGGAGUCCGGGAGAGAAGGUGGGGAUCAGAGAGGCGCUGGCAGUGGACUUAGGGAGCUCGGCUGCUACUGCUCCCUCCCUGGGCUUCGGCAAGAGUCUUUCCCUGUCUAACACGAGGGGUGAGGAUCAUAUUUUUAUUUUGGAAACUAAAAAGUGCUCCCAGGGUCGGUGAUCAUUAAGGGGAAAUCCCUGAAUAUACUCUCCAGCCAAGAAGGCAGGGCUGCCCGCCUGCACUAGAAGAGGCAGCAGCCUCCUACAGCACCACUACAGGCACCGCGAGGACAUAACACCACAGAGCAGUUCCUCUGCCCUCCGAAACGACAACUUUCCUACCAUCUUGGAGGCAGAGGAGAGAGGGGCCAAGGGGAGAAGUGCACCGGCUCCAGCCAGAUAAAGUCCAAAUUUCUACCUCUCAUCGCUGGAAAAAAGCCCAUACUUGAGAAAAAGCAGGGAAGAAACAGAAAGGAGGUCGUGUGCUCCGUGGUGGGGAAUGUUUCUGCACCUUCUGAUGGAAAGAAAUCUUUACAAGACACAG